UACGUAGGGGGCGAGCGUUGUCCGGAUUUAUUGGGCGUAAAGAGCGUGUAGGCGGCCAGGUAGGUCUGCUGUGAAAACUCGAGGCUCAACCUCGAGACGUCGGCGGAAACCAUCUGGCUAGAGUCCGGAAGAGGAGAGUGGAAUUCCUGGUGUAGCGGUGAAAUGCGCAGAUAUCAGGAAGAACACCAGUGGCGAAGGCGGCUCACUGGACCGGUAUUGACGCUGAGGUGCGAAAGCGUGGGGAGCAAACAGG
rnacentral:rRNA from 1 species